rnacentral:lncRNA from 1 species
GUAAGAAGUGCCUUUCGCCUCCUGCCAUGAUUCUGAGUCCUCCUCAGCCAUGUGGAACUGUAAGUCCAAUGAAACCUCUUUUUCUUCCCAGUCUCAGGUAUGUCUUUAUCAGCUGCCUGAAAAUGGACUAAUACAGUAAAUUGGCACCAAUAGAGUGGGGCAUUGCUGAAAAGAUACCCGAAAAUGUGGAAGUGACUUUGGAACUGGGUAACAGGCAGAGAUUGGAACAGUUUGAAGGGCUCAGAAGAAGACAGGAAAAUUUGCAGCCUGACUAUGCAACAGAAAAGAAAACCCCAUUUUCUGGGGAGAAAUUCAAGCUGGCUGCAGAAAUUAGCAUAAGUAGCAAGGAGCCUAAUGUUAAUCCCCAAGACCAUGGGGAAAAUGUCUCCAGGCUAUGUCAGAGACCUUCAUGGAGGCCCCUCCCAUCACGGGACCAGAGGCCCAGGAGGAAACUGUGGUUUUGUAGGCCAUGCCCAGGGUCCCUGUGCUGUGUGCAAUCUAGGGACUUGGUGCCCUGUGUCCCAGCUGCUCCAGCCAUGGCUGAAAGGGGCCAAUGUAUAGUCGGGCUGUGGCUUCAGAGGGUGCAAGCCCAAGCCUUGGCAGCUUCCACAUGGUAUUGAUCCUGUGGGUGCACAGAAGUCAAGAAUUGAGGUUUGGGAACCUCUGCCUAGAUUUCAGAAGAUGUAUGGAAAUGCAUAGAUGCCCAGGCAGAAGUUUGUUGCAGGGGCAGGGCCUUCAUGAAGAACCUCUGUUAGGGCAGUGCAGAAGGAAAAUGUGGGAUUGGAGCCCCCACACAGAGUCCCUACUGGGGCACUGCCUAGUGGAGCUGUGAGAAGAUGGCCACUGACCUCCAGACCCCAGAAUAGUAGAUCCAUCUACCACUUGCACCAUGCACCUGGAAAAGCUGUAGACACUCAGUGCCAGACUAUGAAAACAGCCAGGAGGGAGGCUGUACCCUGCAAAGCCACAAGGGCAGAGCUGCCCAAGACCGUGGGAACCUACGUUUUACAUCAGCAUGACCUUGAUGUCUAAGGAGAUCAUUUUGGAGCUUUAAAAUUUGACUGUCCUGCUCUCCCUCUCCCUCUCCCUCUCCCUCUCCCCACGGUCUCCCUCUCCCUCUCUUUCCACGGUCUCCCUCUGAUGCCGAGCCGAAGCUGGACUGUACUGCUGCCAUCUCGGCUCACUGCAACCUCCCUGCCUGAUUCUCCUGCCUCAGCCUGCAGAGUGCCUGCGAUUGCAGGCGCGCGCUGCCACGCCUGACUGGUUUUCGUAUUUUUUUGGUGGAGACGGGGUUUCGCUGUGUUGGCCGGGCUGGUCUCCAGCUCCUAACCGCGAGUGAUCCGCCAGCCUCGGCCUCCCGAGGUGCCGGGAUUGCAGACGGAGUCUGGUUCACUCAGCGCUCAAUGGUGCCCAGGCUGGAGUGCAGUGGCGUGAUCUCGGCUCGCUACAACCUCCACCUCCCAGCCGCCUGCCUUGGCCCCCCAAAGUGCCGAGAUUGCAGCCUCUGCCCGGCCGCCACCCCGUCUGGGAAGUAAGGAGCAUCUCUGCCUGGCCGCCCAUCGUCUGGGAUGUGAGGAGCCCCUCUGCCUGGCUACCCAGUCUGGAAAAUGAGGAGCGUCUCUGCCCGGCCGCCAUCCCAUAUAGGAAGUGAGGAGCGCCUCUUCCCGACCGCCAUCCCAUCUAGGAAGUGAGGAGCGUCUCUGCCCGUCCGCCCAUCGUCUGAGAUGUGGGGAGCGCCUCUGCCCUGCCACCCCGUCUGGGAUGUGAGGAGCGCCUCGUCUGGGAGGUGAGGAGCAUCUCUGACCGGUCGCCCCGUCUGAGAAGUGAGGAGACCCUCCGCCUGGCAACCGCCCCCUCUGAGAAGUGAGGAGCCCCUCCACCCGGCAGCCGCCACGUCAGAGAAGUGAGGAGCCCCUCCGCCUGGCAGCCACCCCGUCUGGGAAGUGAGGAGCUUCUCCGCCCGGCAGCCACCCCGUCCGGGAGGGAGGUGGGAGUCAACCCCCACCAGGCCAGCUGCCCCGUCUGGGAGGGAGGUGGGGGUGUCAGACCCCGCCCGGCCAGCCGCCCUGUCCGGGAGGUGAGGGCCGCCUCUGCCCGGCCGCCCCUACUGGGAAGUGAGGAGCUCCUCUGCCCGGCCAGCCGCCCCGUCCGGGAGGGAGGUUGGGGGGUCAGCCCCCCGCCCGGCCAGCCGCCCCAUCCGGGAGGGAGGUGGGGGGGUCAGCCCCCCGCCCGGCCAGCCGCCCCGUCCGGGAGGGAGGUGGGGGGGUCAGCCCCCCGCCCGGCCAGCCGCCCCGUCCGGGAGGGAGGUGGGGGGGUCAGCCCCCCGCCUGGCCAGCCGCCCCGUCCGGGAGGUGAGGGGCGCCUCUGCCCGGCCGCCCCUACUGGGAAGUGAGGAGCCCCUCUGCUCGGCCAGCCGCCCCGUCCGGGAGGGAGGUGGGGGGUCAGCCCCCCACCCGGCCAGCCGCCCCGUCCGGGAGGUGAGGGGCGCCUCUGCCCGGCUGCCCUUACUGGGAAGUGAGGAGCCCCUCUGCCCGGCCGCCACCCCGUCUGGGAGGUGUGCCCAGCAGCUCAUUGAGAACGGGCCAUGAUGACAAUGGCGGUUUUGUGGAAUAGAAAGGGGGGAAAGGUGGGGAAAAGAUUGAGAGGUUGGAUGGUUGCCGUGUCUGUGUAGAAAGAGGUAGACAUGGGAGACUUCUCAUUUUGUUCUGUACUAAGAAAAAUUAUUCUGCCUUGGGAUCCUGUUGAUCUGUGACCUUACCCCCAACCCUGUGCUCUCUGAAACAUGUGCUGUGUCCACUCAGGGUUAAAUGGAUUAAGGGCGGUGCAAGAUGUGCUUUGUUAAACAGAUGCUUGAAGGCAGCAUGCUCGUUAAAAGUCAUCACCACUCCCUAAUCUCAAGUACCCCGGGACACAAACACUGCGGAAGGCCGCAGGGUCCUCUGCCUAGGAAAACCAGAGACCUUUGUUCACUUGUUUAUCUGCUGACCUUCCCUCCACUAUUGUCCAAUGACCCUGCCAAAUCCCCCUCUGCGAGAAACACCCAAGAAUGAUCAAUAAAAAAAAAUAAAAAAUAAAAACAUUAUAUUAUCGACUAUACCUUAAAUUAUAAUAAAAAGUUAUAUAUGUAAAAUUUGACUGUCCUGCUGGAUUUUGAACUUGCAUGGGCCUUGUAACCCCUUUGUUUUGGCCACUUUCUCCCAUUUGGAAUGGCUGUAUUUACCCAAUACCUGUAUUCCCAUUGUAUCUAGGAAGUAACUAGCUUGCUUUUGAAUUUACAGGCUCAUAGACAGAGACUUUGGGGGACUGUUGGGAAGGCAUAAUUAGUUUUGAAAUGUGAAGACAUGAGAUUUGGAGGGGCCAGGCAGGGGCAGAAUGAUAUGGUUUGGCUGCGUCCCCACCCAAAUCUCAACUUGGAUUGUAUCUCCCAGAACUCCCAUGUGUUGUGGGAGGGACCCAGCGGGGAGGUAAUUGACUCAUGGGGACUGGUCAUUCCCAACGCUAUUCUCGUGAUAGUGAACAAGUCUCACAAGAUCUGAUGGGUUUAUCAGGGGGUUCCGCUUUUGCUUCUUCCUCAUCUUCUCUUGCUGCCACGAUGUAAGAAGUGCCUUUUGCCUCCUGCCAUGAUUCUGAGGUCUCCCCAGCCAUGUGGAAUUGUAAGUCCAAUUAAAC